rnacentral:rRNA from 1 species
AACUUCUGAAUGUUGACCUCGGAUCAGGUAGGAAUACCCGCUGAACUUAAGCAUAUCAAUAAGCGGAGGAAAAGAAACCAACAGGGAUUGCCCUAGUAACGGCGAGUGAAGCGGCAACAGCUCAAAUUUGAAAUCUGGCUCUCGGGCCCGAGUUGUAAUUUGUAGAGGAUACUUUUGAUGCGGUGCCUUCCGAGUUCCCUGGAACGGGACGCCAUAGAGGGUGAGAGCCCCGCCUGGUUGGAUGCCAAAUCUCUGUAAAGUUCCUUCGACGAGUCGAGUAGUUUGGGAAUGCUGCUCUAAAUGGGAGGUAUAUGUCUUCUAAAGCUAAAUACCGGCCAGAGACCGAUAGCGCACAAGUAGAGUGAUCGAAAGAUGAAAAGCACUUUGAAAAGAGAGUUAAAAAGUACGUGAAAUUGUUGAAAGGGAAGCGUUUAUGACCAGACUUGGGCUUGGUUAAUCAUCUGGGGUUCUCCCCAGUGCACUUUUCCAGUCCAGGCCAGCAUCAGUUUUCCCCGGGGGAUAAAGACUUCGGGAAUGUGGCUCUCUUCGGGGAGUGUUAUAGCCCGUUGUGUAAUACCCUGGGGGGGACUGAGGUUCGCGCAUCUGCAAGGAUGCUGGCGUAAUGGUCGUCAACGACCCGUCUUGAAACACGGACCAAGG